AGAGUUUGAUCAUGGCUCAGAACGAACGCUGGCGGCGUGCUUAACACAUGCAAAGUCGAACGGUAAGGCCCCUUCGGGGGUACACGAGUGGCGAACGGGUGAGUAACACGUGAGCAACCUGCCCUUGACUCUGGGAUAACAGUUGGAAACAGCUGCUAAUACCGGAUAUGACCUUCGAUGACAUCAUCUGGAGGUGGAAAGCGCUUUAGCGGUCAAGGAUGGGCUCGCGGCCUAUCAGCUUGUUGGUGAGGUAACGGCUCACCAAGGCUUCGACGGGUAGCCGGCCUGAGAGGGCGACCGGCCACACUGGGACUGAGAUACGGCCCAGACUCCUACGGGAGGCAGCAGUGGGGAAUAUUGCACAAUGGGCGCAAGCCUGAUGCAGCAACGCCGCGUGCGGGAUGACGGCCUUCGGGUUGUAAACCGCUUUCAGUUCCGACGAAGCGCAAGUGACGGUAGGAACAGAAGAAGGACGGCCAACUACGUGCCAGCAGCCGCGGUG
rnacentral:rRNA from 1 species